GACGAACGCUGGCGGCGUGCUUAACACAUGCCAGUCGAACGGAAAGGCCCUGCUUUUGUGGGGUGCUCGAGUGGCGAACGGGUGAGUAACACGUGAGUAACCUGCCCUUGACUUUGGGAUAACUUCAGGAAACUGGGGCUAAUACCGGAUAGGAGCUCCUGCUGCAUGGUGGGGGUUCGAAAGUUUCGGCGGUUGGGGAUGGACUCGCGGCUUAUCAGCUUGUUGGUGGGGUAGUGGCUUACCAAGGCUUUGACGGGUAGCCGGCCUGAGAGGGUGACCGGCCACAUUGGGACUGAGAUACGGCCCAGACUCCUACGGGAGGCAGCAGUGGGGAAUAUUGCACAAUGGGCGGAAGCCUGAUGCAGCAACGCCGCGUGCGGGAUGACGGCCUUCGGGUUGUAAACCGCUUUCGCCUGUGACGAAGCGUGAGUGACGGUAAUGGGUAAAGAAGCACCGGCUAACUACGUG
rnacentral:rRNA from 1 species